rnacentral:rRNA from 1 species
UCCAGGCCCUACGGGGCGCAGCAGGCGCGAAACCUCCACAAUGGGCGAAAGCCUGAUCGGGGUUAUUCCGAGUGCCAUCCGCUAAGGAUGGCUUUUCCCAAGUCUAAACCGCUUGGGGAAUAAGGGGAGGGCAAGUCUGGUGUCA